UACAGAGGUCUCAAGCGUUGUUUCGGAUUCAUUGGGCGUAAAGGGUGCGUAGGCGGCGCGGUAAGUCGGGUGUGAAAUCGUCGGGGCUUAACUCCGAAACUGCAUUCGAUACUGCCGUGCUUGAGGACUGGAGAGGAGACUGAAAUUUACGGUGUAGCGGUGAAAUGCGUAGAUAUCGUAAGGAAGACCAGUGGCGAAGGCGGGUCUCUGGACAGUUC
rnacentral:rRNA from 1 species